rnacentral:rRNA from 1 species
AUUGAACGCUGGCGGCAGGCUUAACACAUGCAAGUCGAGCGAGCGGCGGACGGGUGAGUAAUGUCUGGGAAACUGCCUGAUGGAGGGGGAUAACUACUGGAAACGGUAGCUAAUACCGCAUACCAUCAGAUGUGCCCAGAUGGGAUUAGCUAGUAGGUGGGGUAAUGGCUCACAUAGGCGACGAUCCCUAGCGGGUCUGAGAGGAUGACCAGCCCAACGGGAACUGGGCAACGGCCCGGACUCCUACGGGAGGCAGCAGUGGGGAAUAUGGGACAAUGGGCGCAAGCCUGAUGCAGCCAUGCCGCGGGUGUGAAGAAGGCCUUCGGGUUGUAAAGCACUUUAAGCGAGGAGGCGUUACUCGCAGAAGAAGCACCGGCUAACUCCGUGCCAGCAGCCGCGGUAAUUC